rnacentral:rRNA from 1 species
UACGGAGGGUGCGAGCGUUAAUCGGAAUUACUGGGCGUAAAGCGCACGCAGGCGGUUUGUUAAGCUAGAUGUGAAAGCCCCGGGCUCAACCUGGGAUGGUCAUUUAGAACUGGCAGACUAGAGUCUUGGAGAGGGGAGUGGAAUUCCAGGUGUAGCGGUGAAAUGCGUAGAUAUCUGGAGGAACAUCAGUGGCGAAGGCGACUCCCUGGCCAAAGACUGACGCUCACGUGCGAAAGUGUGGG